ACGCUGCCGAGACCCUUGUUCUCUCCUCCUCCGUUCCGCGCUCCGGUCAAAUCCAUUUGACGCUCGCCGGAGUGGCAUUCCGCUGCACUCUCGCCAUUCUCUCCUGUCUCGACGCGCGAGGCCUAUCCACCAACCGAAGAAGCCUAGGGUUUCGAUCCGGCGCCGAUGGCGGCGAUGACGGCGGCGGGUUGGGGCGAGCGGGCGGUCGGGCUUCUCGAGUCGGCAAGAACGGCCGGCGAGGUGCCUUCGAAGCUGAAGCAGCUGCGGCAGUUGAAGGCGGUCCUCUUGCACCGCGACCCACCCCUAUUGCCCGAGUUCGUGACGCGCCUCACCGAGCUCCAGAGUGAGCGGGCCAGCCCCAUUCGAAAGUUCCUCGCCGAGAUGAUUGGUGACAUUGGAUCCAAGCAUAUAGAAUUGCUGCCGGAGAUGGUUCCUUGUCUAAUAGCCUUUUUAAAGGAUGAAACUCCGGCUGUCGCUCGUCAAGCAAUUACAACGGGGACCUCUCUGUUUGGAUAUGUGUUAGAAAAGCUUGUAAUUCAGGGUUUAUACUCUAGUGAAAUAGAUGACUCCACUAAAUCAUCUUGGGCAUGGAUGCUAAAGUUCAAAGAUGCAGUACUCCAUAUUGCUGUCCAGUCUGGAAGUGAUGGAGUUAGGUUGCUUGCUGUGAAAUUUGUUGAGACAUUGGUUCUUCUUUAUACACCAGAUCCUUACAUUUCCGCAGAUCCACCUCAAGAACCUGUCUAUGGGCUAGGUUUCAAUAUUUCAUGGCUAAGGGGUGGUCAUCCUUCGCUUAAUGUUGGAGAGCUAGCCAUGGAAGCCAGUCAGAGCUUGGGAUUAUUACUUGAUCAUCUGCGGUCCCCACAAGUGAAAUCACUUAGUAACUCAAUAAUUAUUGUGCUAAUCAAAAGUCUCUCAGCUAUUGCGACGAAAAGGCCUUCCUUCUAUGGACGCAUAUUACCAGUUUUACUCGGCUUGGAUCCGGCUAUUUCAAUUGUGAAAGCGGUGGAAGUCCCAGGUGCACACCAUGCCCUAAAAACUGCCUUUGUGGCAUGUUUGGAAUGUACACACUCAAGUGCUGAACCGUGGCGUGCCCGCUUGGUGGAAGCUCUGAAAGCUAUUAAUGAUAGUGAGUUGUCAGGCCAGGCAACUAAUAAGAAUUCUGGAGGUGUUUCUAUAAGCAAUGAAGAGUCAUUACCCCUAAAGGAUGAUAAUUCAUCAUUGCAAGCAUGUGAUGAGGCAAGUAGUGAUCUUGUGCGUAAGAGGCCUGUAGCUGAAUUGAACAAUGAUUUGCUGCAAGAUGAUUGUCUUUCUGUUAAACGAAUAAGACAGUCAACUCAUACAGCUCAGGAUCUGCCAAAUGAACCACUUCAGGUGACUGCUGAUCAGGAAUCAAAUAGUGUUCCUGUGGUUGGUUCUGUAUCUUCUAGGGAUAAGAGCUCUGGACCUGUGCAGCAACUUGUUGCUAUGUUUGGUGCCUUGGUUGCGCAAGGCGAAAAAGCCGCUGGUUCACUGGAGAUUCUUAUUUCGAGUAUCUCCUCUGACUUGCUUGCAGAAGUAGUUAUGGCUAAUAUGCAACAUCUCCCUCCAACAUGUCCUAAGACUGACAAAGAUGAUGUGGCCUCCGAAACGGGUUAUCCUUCUUGCUUAGAUAGCAGUGUCUUGUCAUCUAUACAGUUGUCACCACUCAUUUCAGAUAUUCAUUCAUUGUCAAGUUUGAGUCCUCUUCUCGCGUCACUACUUAAUAUACAACCUUCAAUGUCUCAUGAUGUUGCUAAAUCCCAUCAGAGCAGCGAGGAAAAAGUAAUGGAUACAGUAGAGACAACUUUACUAUCCUCUAGUGGAGGUGAUGGUGGUGCAAUGAUGCCUGUUACUUUGCCUGCUUCAGUUUCACCAUUUCCAGUUGUUACUGAAAAUGGCAGUUCAGUCGUUUCAUUGUCUCUAAAUUCGGCAACAGAGGAGAGAGUAAUACCCGGUGUUGAUUCAACCAGUUCUAUUGAUGAAAUCCAAGAAUCACAUGAUGCUUCUCAUUGUUCGAACCCUGAAGUGAAUGAUUCUAGUCAAGAUCAUGCCACAAGUUUGGGCAGUUUAGUGCCUUCUAAUAUUUUGUCAACUUGUUCCAUGGCAACUGAUGUUUCAGAAACCCAGAGUACCGGAGUAGGUAUUUUUGAUACUAGUCAGGCAUCUUCUGCAGCUUCUCUUGUCACUUCAUGCCAGUGUGUCCUACCAAAGAUGAUGAUUCUUGAUGUUAAUCUAACCGAUGAAGCUAAGGAUCAACUUCAAAAAGUGGCAUUUGUUCGCAUACUUGAUGCUUAUAAGCAAGUAGCAAUUUCUGGUGGGUUAGAUGCUCGCUGUUCGUUGCUUGCUCAUUUGGGGAUUGAGUUCCCGCUGGAGCUAGAUUCUUGGGGGCUUUUGCAAAAACAUGUUCUGUCUGAUUAUAUGGACCAUGAGGGACACGAGUUGACUUUGCGUAUCCUAUACAGGUUAUAUCGGGAAACGGAGCAGGAUCAAGACUUUCUUUCAUCAAGGACUGCUAUAUCAAUUUAUGAAACAUUUCUUUUGGCCGUGGCUGAGUCCCUUCGAGAUACCUUCCCUGCCACAGAUAAAUCACUAGGCAGAUUGCUUGCUGAAGUGCCUUACUUGUCGGAGGGAGUGUUGAAACUGUUGGAGGGUUUGUGCUGUCCUGACAGAAGUGAGAAACUUGAAAAGGACUUUCAAAAUGGUGACCGAGUUACUCAAGGCCUGAGUGCUGUUUGGAAUCUAAUUUUGCUUAGACCUUCCAGUCGAGCUAGAUGUCUCCUUGUUGCUUUACAGAGUGCAGUACACUCUGCAGAAGAAGUGCGGAUGAAAGCAAUACGCCUGGUAGCAAAUAAACUGUUUCCUAUGCCAGGCGUAUCUCAAAAAAUUGAAGAAUUUGCUCAUGACAAACUUCACUCAGUCAUAGAUGAUGUUCCUGCAAUUGAGGACAUGGACACUGAUGAAGCAACUUCUGGAUUGCAAGAGGAUUCUAAAUUGGGAAAACCAUCUAGUAGCAGAGGGCAGCAAUCUGACAAUGCAUUAAAGUCCAGCACCCACUUAGAUCAGAAUGUAAUGUCCUCUCUGAUAUCAGAGGCACAACGGUGCAUGUCACUUUAUUUUGCCCUUUGCACGAAGAAGCAUUCUCUUCUCAGGGAAAUUUUCACAAUAUAUAAAAACAUAUCAAAGGCUGCAAAAGAGGCUGUUCACAGGCAGAUUCCCAUCUUGGUUCGCACUGUAGGGUCUUCUCCUGAACUCCUUGCUAUCAUCUCAGAUCCACCAACUGGAAGCGAAGAUCUUCUUAUGAAGGUUUUACAUACAUUAACAGAUGGGAUCGUUCCUUCACAAGAUUUGAUUUCUUCUGUUAAGAAGUUAUAUCACUCAAGAAUGAAGGAUGCAGAUGUUCUGAUUCCAGUAUUGCCCUUCCUAACAAAAGAUGAGAUAUUUCCAAUUUUUCCCCAUCUUGUUAAUCUGCCAAUAGAAAAUUUUCAAGGUGCCCUCAGUCGUGUGCUUCAGGGAUCGCCUAAAACUGGCCCAUGCCUCACCCCAGCUGAAGUUUUGAUUGCUAUUCAUGGGAUAGAUCCUGUGAAAGAUGGGAUACCACUCAAAAAGGUUAUUGAUGCAUGCUCUGCUUGCUUUGAGCAGCGGAAAGUUUUUACUCAACAGGUGUUGGCAAAGGUGUUGAAUCAAUUAGUUGAACAAAUACCUCUUCCUUUGUUGUUUAUGCGAACUGUCUUACAAGCAAUUGGCAUAUUCCCUUCAUUGGUGGAUUUUGUAAUGGAGAUCCUGUUACGGCUCAUAAGUAAGCAGAUAUGGAAGUACCCAAAACUAUGGGUGGGAUUCUUGAAAUGUGUUACUCAGACAAUGCCUCAGUCUUUUUCUGUUGUGCUACAGUUGCCAGCUGCGCAGCUUGAAAAUGCAUUGAACAAACAUCCUGUGCUGAGGCCUCCUUUGGUUGAGCAUGCUAGCCAGCCAAACAUACGUUCAUCUUUGCCCAGAUCAACACAGGUGGUUUUAGGACUUGUACAAGAUUUACAAGCUAAUAGCCAAGGACAGACUAGUCAAAGCCAGGCUGCAGACACCGGCAGUUCUACUGCAGAUGUAGCAACAGAGUUAACGCAAGAAUCUAGCGCUGUCAGCUGAGUCUAAAGAGAUUUUGCAACUUCGUGGAAGCAGGAGACUUGUUUGUAAACAACCUGCUUGUCUGAUAUGGUUUGCCUUUUUCCCGGCUGUUGACUGAUGUACAAGUUUGGUGAUCCUCAGAGCAAGCAUUGUAUCAGGUUUCAUAGCAUAGAGCGGCACCAACUGCAUUAACUGAAGUUGAUAAAGGGUGCUGACAAUAUUUCACGUUGAGCUGAGAGAAAUGAUCGCUGGGCGGACUCCAGUAAUGUAUUCGAGAUUCACGUAACAUCAGUUGCAUUGUCUAUCGUACUUUACAAUUUAGUGAUAUUUCUUUUUUCCUACGAUGUAAUUAUCAUAUUGAGUGUACUGUUUGUGUCUCAAAUUCCUGAACUACCUCAUGUGUUAUGAGCUCGCAAUACGUUGGUGAUGUA